rnacentral:rRNA from 1 species
UACGUAGGGGGCAAGCGUUUGUCCGGAUUUAUUGGGCGUAAAGGGCUCGUAGGCGGUCUGUUGCGUCGGGAGUGAAAACUUACAGCUUAACUGUGAGCGUGCUUCCGAUACGGGCAGACUUGAGGUAUUCAGGGGAGAACGGAAUUCCUGGUGUAGCGGUGAAAUGCGCAGAUAUCAGGAGGAACACCGGUGGCGAAGGCGGUUCUCUGGGCCUUACCUGACGCUGAGGAGCGAAAGCGUGGGGAGCGAACAGG